AGAUUGAACGCUGGCGGCAUGCUUUACACAUGCAAGUCGAACGGCAGCACGGGGGCAACCCUGGUGGCGAGUGGCGAACGGGUGAGUAAUGCAUCGGAACGUAUCCUUGAGUGGGGGGUAACGCAGCGAAAGUUGUGCUAAUACCGCAUAAGCUCUGAGGAGGAGAGCGGGGGACCGAAAGGCCUCGCGCUGAAGGAGCGGCCGAUGUCCGAUUAGCUAGUUGGUGAGGUAAAGGCUUACCAAGGCGACGAUCGGUAGCUGGUCUGAGAGGAUGAUCAGCCACACUGGGACGUGAGACACGGCCCACGACUCCUACCGGGAGGGCAGC
rnacentral:rRNA from 1 species